rnacentral:rRNA from 1 species
GUGCCAGCAGCCGCGGUAAUACAGAGGUUGCGAGCGUUGUUCGGAAUUAUUGGGCGUAAAGCGCGUGUAGGCGGGAUUGCAAGUCGGGUGUGAAAGCCCUCGGCUCAACCGAGGAAGUGCGCCCGAAACUACAGUUCUUGAGUGCCGGAGAGGGUGGCGGAAUUCCCGGUGUAGAGGUGAAAUUCGUAGAUAUCGGGAGGAACACCAGUGGCGAAGGCGGCCACCUGGACGGACACUGACGCUGAGACGCGAAAGCGUGGGGAGCAAACAGGAUUAGAUACCCUGGUAGUCCACGCCGUAAACGAUGGGUGCUAGGUGUUGUGGGUGUUGACCCCCGCAGUGCCGUAGCUAACGCAUUAAGCACCCCGCCUGGGAAGUACGGCCGCAAGGCUAAA